ACUUAAAAAUUCUUUCCUCUCACACAUACUUCCACAGUGGUGUCAUCACAUGCAUAACAAACAUGUUUGGCUCCCAGCUGAACAGGUAAAGACACGACAGCAUUUCUUUUUUAAAAUGAAUGCCAAAGCCUUUGCCUCUGCUCAGGUCCGCUAAGCUUCCUUCCCUGCCCAGGAAUUGGAUCUGGGGUAAUGGGUGACCCAGCAGGCACAGAGAUGACAGAUUCCCGCAUCAUGUAGCAACGCUGGGACAACCUGGGACAACGCUGGGACAACACUGGGGCAUCCGGCCUGGCAGGAAGGCGGGCCGCCGUUGCUGGCCAGAAACGGUGGGACAAUCUCUUGGACUUAUGUCUGGAAGAAAAGACUCGAGAGACUUCAAACUCUCUUCUUUUCACUCCAAGAUAAUAUUGUACUACCAGUUGAUGUUGAAUAUUCUCAUGACGUUGCUUAAGAAGUUCUUCUGUCCUCUGCAAGACACCAAAUUCAGCUUUAAAUUCAGCUAUUAUCUG